rnacentral:rRNA from 1 species
UACGUAGGGUGCAAGCGUUAAUCGGAAUUACUGGGCGUAAAGCGUGCGCAGGCGGUGAUGUAAGACAGAUGUGAAAUCCCCGGGCUCAACCUGGGAACUGCAUUUGUGACUGCAUCGCUGGAGUGCGGCAGAGGGGGAUGGAAUUCCGCGUGUAGCAGUGAAAUGCGUAGAUAUGCGGAGGAACACCGAUGGCGAAGGCAAUCCCCUGGGCCUGCACUGACGCUCAUGCACGAAAGUGUGGGGAUCAAACAGG